rnacentral:rRNA from 1 species
ACUCCUGCGGGAGGCAGCAGUGGGGAAUUUUGGACAAUGGGCGAAAGCCUGAUCCAGCAAUGCCGCGUGCAGGAUGAAGGCCUUCGGGUUGUAAACUGCUUUUGUACGGAACGAAAAAGCUCCUUCUAAUACAGGGGGCCCAUGACGGUACCGUAAGAAUAAGCACCGGCUAACUACGUGCCAGCAGCCGCGGUAAUACGUAGGGUGCGAGCGUUAAUCGGAAUUACUGGGCGUAAAGCGUGCGCAGGCGGUUAUGUAAGACAGAUGUGAAAUCCCCGGGCUCAACCUGGGAACUGCAUUUGUGACUGCAUGGCUAGAGUACGGUAGAGGGGGAUGGAAUUCCGCGUGUAGCAGUGAAAUGCGUAGAUAUGCGGAGGAACACCGAUGGCGAAGGCAAUCCCCUGGACCUGUACUGACGCUCAUGCACGAAAGCGUGGGGAGCAAACAGGAUUAGAAACCCCUGUAGUCCC